AGUUAUCUAUCUUCAAAAUCAGCUGCAACGGUGAACUCGAGAGUUAUGUGUGUGCCGGUGCUAGAAAUUCAGAAGAAAAGAAUGUACCAGUAUCCAGUGAACAAGAGGAAAGAUUUUCAAGUUCAGAUUUUUGGAAAGAAAUGCUAAUUCAGAAGAAAAAGAAUGUACUCGUUCGGCCAAUGUUGAGAUUGUUGAUAAGAUUAUUAAGCUUGACAAGGAAU
rnacentral:lncRNA from 1 species